UACGAAGGAUGCAAGCGUUAUCCGGAUUUAUUGGUUGUAAAGGGUGCGUAGGCGGACUUAUAAGUCAGUGGUGAAAUCUCGUUGCUUAACAACGAACGUGCCAUUGAUACUGUAGGUCUUGAGUACAGAUGCCGUUGGCGGAAUGUGUCAUGUAGCGGUGAAAUGCAUAGAUAUGACACAGAACACCGAUUGCGAAGGCAGCUGACGAAACUGUAACUGACGCUGAGGCACGAAAGCGUGGGGAUCAAACAGGG
rnacentral:rRNA from 1 species